rnacentral:rRNA from 1 species
CCUACGGGGGGCAGCAGUGAGGAAUAUUGGUCAAUGGGCGCGAGCCUGAACCAGCCAAGUAGCGUGAAGGAUGACUGCCCUACGGGUUGUAAACUUCUUUUAUAAAGGAAUAAAGUGAGGCACUUGUUCCUUUAUGUGUGUACUUUAUGAAUAAGGAUCGGCUAACUCCGUGCCAGCAGCCGCGGUAAUACGGAGGAUCCGCGCGUUGUCCGGAUUUAAUGGGUUUAAAGGGAGCGUAGAUGGGUUGUUAAGUCAGUUGGGAAAGUUGGGGGCUCAACCGUAAAAUUGCAAUUGAUACUGGCAGUCUUGAGUGCAGUUGAGGUAGGCGGAAUUCGUGGUGUAGCGGUGAAAUGCUUAGAUAUCACGAAGAACUCCGAUUGCGAAGGCAGCUUACUAAACUGCCACUGACAUUGAUGCUCGAAAGUGUGGGUAUCAAACAGGAUUAGAUACCCGGGUAGUC